UGGGGAAUUUUGGACAAUGGGCGAAAGCCUGAUCCAGCAAUGCCGCGUGUGUGAAGAAGGCCUUCGGGUUGUAAAGCACUUUUUGUCCGGAAAGAAAUCCUCUGGGUUAAUACCUCGGGGGGAUGACGGUACCGGAAGAAUAAGCACCGGCUAACUACGUGCCAGCAGCCGCGGUAAUACGUAGGGUGCAAGCGUUAAUCGGAAUUACUGGGCGUAAAGCGUGCGCAGGCGGUUUUGUAAGACGAUGUGAAAUCCCCGGGCUUAACCUGGGAACUGCAUUCGUGACUGCAAGGCUAGAGUAUGGCAGAGGGGGUAGAAUUCACGUGUGAGCAGUGAAAUGCGUAGAGAUGUGGAGGAAUACCGAUGGCGAAGGCAGCCCCCUGGGCCAAUACUGACGCUCAUGCACGAAAGCGUGGGGAGCAAACAGGAUUAGAUACCCUGGUAGUCCACGCCCUAAAACG
rnacentral:rRNA from 1 species